UAUAAGAGACAGAUUUUAAGGAACUGGGCAAAUUUUCUUUUCGCCUGUUUAUCAAAAACAUGUCUUUUUGAUUAUAAUUUAAGGUUUGACCUGCUCACUGAAGAAUUUUAAAGAGCCGCGGUAUUUUGACCGUGCAAAGGUAGCAUAAUCAUUAGUCUUUUAAUUGAGGGCUGGAAUGAAUGGUUUGACGAGGAAGAGACUGUCUCAAUUUUAAUUAAUAAAAUUUAAUUUUUAAGUUAAAAGGCUUAAAUUUAACUUUAGGACGAGAAGACCCUAUAGAGCUUUAUAUGUUAUUUUUAAUUAUUUUUUUGAUAAUUUUUUUAAAUUUAUAUUUAACUUAUUUUGUUGGGGUGACAUAAAGAAUAAUUAAACUCUUUAUAUGGAAGUUCAUUUAUUUAUGAGUGUUUGAUCCAUAAUUUGUGAUUAAAAGAUUAAGUUACCUUAGGGAUAACAGCGUAAUUAUUUUUUAGAGUUCAUAUCAACAAAUUAGAUUGCGACCUCGAUGUUGGAUUAAGAUAAGUUUUAGGUGUAUCAGUUUAAAUACUAGGUCUGUUCGACCUUUAAAAUCUUACAUGAUCUGAGUUCAAACCGGUGUAAGCCAGGUUGGUUUCUAUCCUAAGUUUAUAUUUUAUAUUAGUACGAAAGGACCAUAUAAUUGGAAUAAUUUCUUGUAAUUAUUGAUUUAGAUUAAUUU
rnacentral:rRNA from 1 species